AGAAUCAUUAACAGCAGCAUAGGCUUUGGCCAGCUGCCACACCGAACCUUCAACACCUUCUUCUGCUGGAGUGAAAACUUUACUGACAGCACCAUGGCGUUCCCCUUGUGGAUGCGGCAAGCUUAACUCAAUUGCUAAUGGCUUCAGUGUCCCAUUAUCUUGCAGUAAAAGGAGCGUUCUGGUGGCAUAAGUCUUUGUGGUGGUUGAGUUUAUUCUCAUCAGGGUAAACCCAAGAAUUGCAAACGAAAUGCACACGACCAUGCCCAGGAACAUCUUCUAAGGUGACUGUCCUAAGGUAAAACUGGCUGUGAUGGUGGUUUCUUACAAUGAUGGCCCCAGGAACACCCAUGGACUCAUCCCAGUCAAAUGAAAUGGUGAAUACAGUUUCAACUGCUGUUAAUGGAGUGAUUGUUGUAACCCAUUUCUCCAAAUGCGCCACCUUUCCAAGCUUCCCUUGCAAUACAUUUGCUAAACACACAUGUAACAAGAUUUUUAGUUUCUUAGCACUAUUAAUCUUCACAGCUGUUUUAUCAUUGAAUUUUACUUAUCAAGAUCAUCAAAGACAAUGCUAGGAAGUUGUUCAAAAAGCUACUUGAUUGAAAUUUAACUA